UCGAACGGUAACAUGAGUGCUUGCACUUGAUGACGAGUGGCGGACGGGUGAGUAAUGUAUGGGGAUCUGCCGAAUGGAUUGGGACAACAGUUGGAAACGACUGCUAAUACCGAAUAAUGUCGCAAGACCAAAGGGUGCUUUCGGGCACUUGCCAUUUGAUGAACCCAUAUGAGAUUAGCUAGUUGGUGGGGUAAAGGCUCACCAAGGCGACGAUCUCUAGCUGGUCUGAGAGGAUGACCAGCCACACUGGAACUGAGACACGUGUCCANGACUCCUACCGGAGGCAGNCAGUGGGAAAUAUUGCACAAUGGGGGAAACCCUGAUNGCACCCCAUGCCCNNGCGUGUNAUGAAGAAGGCCUUUAAGGUUGUUAAAGUACUUUCCGGUAAUGAGAAAGNUUAUGUGNUGGGAAUUAAGCACNNAUAUAAUUGACGUUUAGUNUAACAGAAGGAAGCACCGGCUUUUAAACUCCGUGUCCAGCNUAGCCGCGGUAAUACCGGAAGGGUAAGACGCGUUAAUCCGGAAUGACUGGGCGUAAAGGGCAAGUUAGGCGGAUGAUUUAAGCUAGGUGUGNAAAACCUUGGGCUCAACCUGAGAAUAGCAUUUAAAACUGGUCAUCUGGAGUACUGUAGAGGAAGGUAGAAUUCCACGUGUAGCGGUGAAAUGCGUAGAGAUGUGGAGGAAUACCGGUGGCGAAGGCGGCCUUCUGGACAGAUACUGACGCUGAGAUGCGAAACGCGUGGCGAGCAAACAGGAUUAGAUACCCUGGUAGUCCACGCUGUAAACGAUGUCGAUUUGGAGUUUGUUGCCUAGAGUGAUGGGCUCCGAAGCUAACGCGAUAAAUCGACCGCCUGGGGAGUACGGCCGCAAGGUUAAAACUCAAAUGAAUUGACGGGGGCCCGCACAAGCGGUGGAGCAUGUGGUUUAAUUCGAUGCAACGCGAAGAACCUUACCUGGUCUUGACAUCCACAGAAUCUUUCAAAGAUGAGGGAGUGCCUUCGGGAACUGUGAAACAGGUGCUGCAUGGCUGUCGUCAGCUCGUGUUGUGAAAUGUUGGGUUAAGUCCCGCAACGAGCGCANCCCUUAUCCUUUGUUACCAGCGAUUAGGUCGGGAACUCAANGGNNANUGCCGUNGNUAAAACGGAGGAAGGUNGGGANGACGUCAAGUCNUCAUGGCCCUUUCGACCANGGNUACACCCGUGCUCCANUAGCGUAUANANUNGGAANCGNANNNGNGAGGUGGANNGNACCUNNUAAAAUACGUCGAAGUCCGGAUUGGAGUCNGCAAUCUCGACUCCAUGAAGUCGGAAUCGCUAGUANUCGUGAAUCAGAAUGUCACGGUNAANACGUUNCCGGNCCUUGUAUCACACNGCGCCNUNACAUCCAUGNGANNUGGGUNNCU
rnacentral:rRNA from 1 species